ACCGCCCUCGGGCGGACAUACAGUGGCGAACGGGUGAGUAACACGUGACCAACCUGCCCCGCGCUCCGGGACAACCGCUGGAAACGGCGGCUAAUACCGGAUACUCCGCGGCCCCCGCAUGGGGGCGGCGGGAAAGCCCCGACGGCGCGGGAUGGGGUCGCGGCCCAUUAGGUAGUAGGCGGGGUAGAGGCCCACCUAGCCGACGAUGGGUAGCCGGACUGAGAGGUCGAUCGGCCACAUUGGGACUGAGAUACGGCCCAGACUCCUACGGGAGGCAGCAGUGGGGAAUUUUGCGCAAUGGGGGAAACCCUGACGCAGCAACGCCGCGUGCGGGACGAAGGCCCUCGGGUCGUAAACCGCUUUCAGCAGGGAAGACCUUACGACGGUACCUGCAGAAGAAGCUCCGGCUAACUACGUGCCAGCAGCCGCGGUAAUACGUAGGGGGCGAGCGUAUCCGGAUUCAUUGGGCCGUAAAGCGCGCGUAGGCGGC
rnacentral:rRNA from 1 species